rnacentral:rRNA from 1 species
UACGAAGGGGGCUAGCGUUGCUCGGAAUUACUGGGCGUAAAGCGCACGUAGGCGGAUUGUUAAGUCGGGUGUGAAAUCCUGGAGCUCAACUCCCGAACUGCCCUCGAAACUGGCGAUCUUGAGUUCGGGAGAGGUGAGUGGAACGGCGAGUGUAGAGGUGAAAUGCGUAGAUAUUCGGAAGAACACCAGUGGCGAAGGCGGCUCACUGGCCCGAUACUGACGCUGAGGUGCGAAAGCGUGGGGAGCAAACAGG